GACGAACGCUGGCGGCGUGCCUAAUACAUGCAAGUUGAGCGCUGAAGGUUGGUACUUGUACCAACUGGAUGAGCAGCGAACGGGUGAGUAACGCGUGGGGAAUCUGCCUUUUAGCGGGGGACAACAUUUGGAAACGAAUGCUAAUACCGCAUAAAAACUUUAAACACAGGUUGUAAGUUUGAAAGAUGCAAUUGCAUCACUCAAAGAUGAUCCCGCGUUGUAUUAGCUAGUUGGUGAGGUAAAGGCUCACCAAGGCGAUGAUACAUAGCCGACCUGAGAGGGUGAUCGGCCACAUUGGGACUGAGACACGGCCCAAACUCCUAAGGGAGGCAGCAGUAGGGAAUCGUCGGCAAUGGACGAAAGUCGGAACGAGCAACGCCGCGUGAGGGAAGAAGGUUUUCGGAUCGUAAAACUCUGUUGGUAGAGAAGAACGUUGGUGAGAGUGGAAAGCUCAUCAAGUGACGGUAACUACACAGAAAGGGACGGCUAACUACGUG
rnacentral:rRNA from 1 species